rnacentral:rRNA from 1 species
UACGUAGGGUGCAAGCGUUAAUCGGAAUUACUGGGCGUAAAGCGUGCGCAGGCGGUUAUGCAAGACAGAUGUGAAAUCCCCGGGCUCAACCUGGGAACUGCAUUUGUGACUGCAUGGCUAGAGUACGGUAGAGGGGGAUGGAAUUCCGCGUGUAGCAGUGAAAUGCGAAGAUAUGCGGAGGAACACCGAUGGCGAAGGCAAUCCCCUGGACCUGUACUGACGCUCAUGCACGAAAGCGUGGGGAGCAAACAGG